rnacentral:rRNA from 1 species
GACGUAGGGGGCCAGCGUUGUUCGGAAUUACUGGGCGUAAAGCGUGCGUAGACGGUUAUGUAAGUCGGGUGUGAAAGCCCCGGGCUCAACCUGGGAAUUGCAUUCGAGACUGCAUAGCUAGGGUGCGGAAGAGGGAAGCGGAAUUUCCGGUGUAGCGGUGAAAUGCGUAGAUAUCGGAAGGAACACCAGUGGCGAAGGCGGCUUCCUGGUCCAGCACCGACGUUCAGGCACGAAAGCGUGGGGAGCAAACAGG